GCGCUAUGGCGGUACAUAUUGUACAAUUCGAAUGAUACAGAGAAGAUUGGCAUGGCCCCUGCACAAGGAUGACACGCAAAUUUGUGAAGUGUUCCAUAUUUUU